CCGUCAUUCGCAGGCUGGCCUGUCAUUCUGCCCCGGUACCAGAUGCGCUUUCUGGAGAAGCUCCCUCCCCUCCCCCUCAGCAGCUCGGCGCCCAUGCUGCGAACAUGGCGGAGGACGGCAGCGCGGACAUUUCCAGACCGCAGAUGUAUCUGUUCGGUUGUGAGCUGAAGUCAGACAAGAAGGAGUACAAGAUCGAAGCGGACGACGAUGAGGAGACUGAGCACCAGCUGUCCCUCAAAACGGUAUGUUUGGGAGCGCAGGCAGAGGAUCGCUUCAACAUGGUAGAGAUGGAAGGCAUGACCUUCGAUGGGAAAAUGACCAAAGUGCAGCUGGCUGUCCUGAAGCCGUCCGUCCUUCCUUCUCUGAAUUUGGGGGGGUUCGAGGUCACACCCCCCGUCACGUUUCGGCUCAAGUCUGGCCCGGGCCCGGUCUACAUCAGCGGCCAGCACUUUGUCAGUGUGAAGGAAUCUGAUGAUGAAGAGGAUGAAGACGAAGAGGAGGAAGAAAAUAACACGUCGCCGAUGAAGAGGCCUUCAAGUUCGGGAAAGGUUCCCAUGCCAAAAAAAAUAAAGUUGGAUGAUGAAGAUGAAGACGAUGACGACGACGACGAAGAUGAUGACGAUGAUGACGACGAUGACGAUGAAGAGGAUGAGAUGCCUGAGAAAAAGUUGAAAAAUACAUCAGUUAAAACUCCACAUGUGGGUGCAGAUGCCCAGGGUAAGAAAGCCAAGACAGCGUCGAGGCCCAAUGGCUCUCCGGACAAGUCUUCUGGCCCAGCAGGGAAGCCACAAGCUAAGAGCCCCAAAGGAGGUAAAGAGAAUCCGGCAGCAGGGACCCCCGAAAACGCUGUCUGUGAGCGACGUGAAAAACAAACUGACCACCGUCGUCAAAGAACGGAAGCCUCUGCCAAAGACUGAGCAGAAAUUUGAAAAUUUUGCCCGGAGCUGUUUUAAGAUCUCAGAUAAAAAUGUAAUCAAAGAACUUUGGACGUUUGUACAGACACUGAAGUCUGAGAAGAAAUAAUGAAACUGUAGCACUUCGAGUGACAAUGUUAUGUCAUCCUGUUUUUUUGUUUUAAUUCCUUUAUUUUUUACUACCCCAUGAGUCAGACAUAGACUGGUUAGUCACCUGUGAGAUUAAUAAGCCCCUUGACGUUCGAUUUAUGUUGCAUCUUAUGGAAAUUCUGUUCUCCGAAAGUGUAGUUGACAAGCAGUAAGCUAAGGAUACGAUUUAAAAAUAGUUUAUCCCAGGUCCUGGUUUAAACUUCAUACUGCUGAUGGAGUGGGUGCAUGUUUUUCCAUUCAUGAUCAGCUUUAUUGUAAACUGAGCAUUCAGACUCACAAAUUCAGGUUGAAGACUAUUGCCGAUAGUCCUUUGUGUUCGAGCUGUGUUUGAAUUUCAGCAGUAUGGCCCCUGUUAGCUGUUUAAAAUGCUUUUUGUGACUAACUUUCUGUCAUUUGUAACCCUGAGUUAGUCAGUGUUGCGAAGGCAGUUCAGCACUGGGAGCUGAUGGGUUUUUGCAUAUUUUUUGAGGGCAUUCGGCAGAACUCUGUUGCUUAAUUUCUUGUCUCUUGUCCUUUUGCAAUUGCUUUUUGCUUUUACUAUUUGACUUAAAUGCAAUACUAAUAGGUGUCCUUUGCUAUAUUUCAAAGUCAUUGUUUUUAUGGUCCAACCCAGAAACCUACACUUCUUAGAACCUUAUGUUUUACUGAUCGGUGUUUCCUGUCUAUCUGACAUUUCCUCCUUUUAGUUUAUAGACAAAAGGUGUGUGAAUAGCUGUAAGAAAAUGCUGAAACAUUUUGAACAUCAGUGAGCAGAUUGUCCCGAUUGUGACCCUUGAAAAUUCAUUGUUCAGAUCACUGGAAAACUUGCUUCUCAGUGAAAUGCAUCUCUUUUAGUUCUGGGGGCUAAAGCCUUAAUUAAGAUUGUAAUUUUCAUUUUAGAUAAGGAUUUUUAUUUUUAUUUUUUUUUAGUCCAUUGACCGAGAACGGUGUUUGAGUCAAAUUUCCAUGGAUGUCACUGUAUUACUGAUCUAUGAAUCACCGUAAAUCAUAUUUGUGUUGAUUUAAGGAACAUGGGAAAGAAAAGAAAAUAAGUCCAUCCAUUUUUUUUAAGAUCUCCGUUAAAAUAAACGUAAUAAAAUGUAUUUUGACCCUU